UCUUGUAUGCAACCUCUUCACUGAAUGUACCUGAUCUAGUCUCAUCCCAGAAGCUAAGCAGAGUUGGGCCUGGUUAGUACAUGAG
rnacentral:rRNA from 1 species